AUCUCUAUCUCUCACGCACGCACUCCCCCAUCUCCUCUGGUUCUCCGUCUGCCUCCUUACUCUCCCCGUGUCCUCUUCUUUCCACUCCGCCUGCAGGACGAGCAGAGGCUGCCGCCGCACAGAUGGAGGCGCCUCUCCCUUCCUCCACGCUAGCCCUUUCCCUUCCUCUCUCUUUCCUGCGCAUGGAGCAGCAGCAGGGGGGCCGAAUCCGGCGGCCACGACCCAGCCUGCCACCGCCACCGUGCCCCUACACGGCCUCCUCCGCGGGAGGGCUCCUCCGCUCGUCCUCGCCGCCGGACCCCGCACAGCCUCCUCCGGGGGACCGGUCACAGCCGGAUCGGGCCGCCGCGGGUCCGAGCAUCGCCAGAUCCGGUCGCCAUGGUGCUCCUGCCCCCGAUCCUAGCCGCCGGCCGCCACCCCCGACCCAAGCCCCGGCCGCCGCCCCCGGUUCGUCUCUCUCUCUCUCUCUCUCUGCCUCUGAGUUCUCUCUCUACAGAUCGAGAAGGGGCGGCCGUACGUGGAGAGGAGAGCCCGUCUCCUCAUCGGCGCUGAACAAGGUGGAUGGCCGGCGCCGUCAUGGACAUUUGCAGUCGAUGGCGCGGUCGAGGUGGUGCCCCAGGAGGAUUUGGGGUCGGAGAUUUUUUUUCCUCAAAAAUGGCAUCAGUGUCGGUCGUUUGAGUGUUAGUACCGGGCGUUGCCCAGGUGCCCUGCCCGCCAGUGAUAGUGUUUUUAGCCCGUUAGUGUUUUUGCUCCAGCUAGCUAGGAAUCCUAAUAUUCCAAGAGUAACAAAAUCCACUGGGGGAAACGAGGGGAAUCAACUUUUGAUUUGGUAAAACCCUAAGUCGAUUUCUUCUCAACCCUUCCUCAAAAUAUUAGCUUCGAGGAUGAACUAGGGAGAGAGAUCUCGACAUUUGAAGCUUAGAAAUGGUGAAGAACAAUGGUAAGUCGGGAUGGGAGCCGUUGGGAUGAAGACCCCCUUUUAUAGCAGUUCCUGAUUUCUGCCCGUUAUGUGCAUUUUCUGCACUGGGCGGUACUACUGCCAGACCAGGCGGUACUAUCGUCGCGGUAGUACUGCACUAGUACCGUAUCAGUGCCACACGAGGUCAGUAGCAUUUUGCUACCUCCUAGCACUGGUGCGGUAUGAGGGCGGUACUACUGGCCCCGGUACUGCCGCGCACCCUGGGCCGAGCGGUACUGCCGCCCUGGAAAGAACACAGUCAGAACCUCUUUGGCUCAAAAUUUGGUUUCGCUAAUCUUCACCGAUGGGUUUUGGAGGCUAUUUAGUGGGUGCAAUCUGCUAGUUGUGUACGUGAAGUUGAUUUACCCUAGCCUUUCCAAAAUGGACUCCCUCUUUAUAGUACGGACUUUCCUACGACUCAAUAAAAUAAAAAGCCGUAAAUUUUUCUACGCUUCUUUCCAUUUUGAGGGCAACGAACCGCAUCACUUGAUUCUAUAUAAUUUCUGAACAUGCUUAGCGCACGGUUAGUCCACAUGUCAUGUUGUCAUUAACAUCAAAACUCAUUAGGGAUCGAAAUGCCCUUUCAGGAGGAAAAGAGAGAAAAAUGAGAGAGAGAGAAAGAGAUAGAAUUGCCAACUGCAGUCUCCAUUGUUAAUAAGUGGGUUCCUGAAAAUUUCCAGACCACCGAAACAACGAGAAAACUCCCACCCAAUGACCCUUGCCUGACGUGGCAGUCGUCAACUUGCCAUCUCGUCGGUCAGCAACGGCUCGGCCUCAUUUAGGAUUGCGGUGAACAACUUAAAAGAAUUAUGAUCUAAAUAUGCACUUUUGAAGAACUAGGACUCACUUUACACACCUCCAAUAGUUAUAGGACAUGCGGUGUGUCGGUGCCUGGACCUCCGACACCGGAGAUCUUUAGAACCCCUUUUUUCAUGAGGGGUGAGGGAGCUGUGUCGGUAGGAUCAAACAAACAACUCUCAAGAACACACACGCGAUUUACCCAGGUUCGGGCCGCCGAAGCGUAAUACCCUACGUCCUGCUUAUCUGGAUUGCUGGAGCAACACACGGGAUACAUGGUCCCGGGGGCACACACCCGCUCCUGGGGAUUCUCACUCUCGCUGGAGUCGAGCUCUCCUCGUGUGUCUGUCCUUGCUGUUCGUGACCCUUUUUCUAGUGCCACUGGUCCUCCUUUUAUACUACAAGGGGAUACCACAAGGUUGGGCUGCAUGCGAGCCGCGUGCUGCGGAUACGUGGCGUGUGCGGUACCGGCCCUGGCGUGGUCUUCAGACCUUUUCCUGCACGUGUCUAUCCUCCUCCUGCACCGACCCGACAGGUCGAGCAGUCCGGACGCGACCGGGCAAGCCACCCAGUCGUCGGGCGCGGGCCGUGCAGGCCCCGUCUUGUCGCUGCACAGUGCAGAUUCCCAUCUUAUUUUACUCUUUUGUCGCCCCAACCACCGAGGCAGAGGCUUCAAUGCGGCUGACAGGUGCGACAUGUGUGGUGUUUACUCUUUGUGCUCGCCCGCCGCUCGGCGAGCCAGCUCUUAAGCCCCCGGCGGGGUUGAAGCGGGCCGGCCCCAAGCGGUACUUGGACCCCAGUUACUAGGGGUCCGACAUCAGCCCCCAGUGUGGCACGUCAACCAGAGGGGCCCGUGCCCGGCCUGCUCCUGCUUUGGAACUGAUACCAUUGCGUUGGUGAGCCACGCCUCCUUGCCGCUUGGGGCCUUGCUCCGUCGUCUUUAAAUAACCCACCAGGGAGGAGGGCUUCCUCCCGCAGUUUCCACCCGCGCUUUCCUGUUCUGCUCCCCUUUGGCCUCUUCCUUUCCUCCAUCUCCACUUCCAUCCCGGCGGAGCGAUGAGCCCGAAAGGGAAAAGGAACGCGAAAUCCGGGGGUAAAUCCCCUGCCACCGCACAUUAGCACCCGCGCGCAAGGGAGAAGGAGUGGAAAGCGCUCCGUCCCAAGCACGCCUUCUUCCCCCAACAUGGCCACGCUCCCCGUUGGCGUGCAAGCUCUCCAUGCCGACAUGCCUAGGCUUGAUGACAUCUUGUUCCCUCCCGGCCUGCAACGAGCUAGGACCGGUGUCGUGGGUGACGAACCCCGGUGCCGGAGUCGAACUCACCCCAAGGCCAGACAAGCGCCUGGCCCGUGCUGGUAGGGCCACUCCGCCCUCGUGCCCCGCGGGUGCCUCAGAAGGACCACAGCAGGAGGCGGCUGUCGAAGCUUCCCCCACGGGUGGCGCUCCCGUGUUCCGCUUGUCCAUCCCGCGGGGAUCGUGGGGCUCCAAGCGUCCGGCAGGCAGGUUAGUGUCCUUUCCACCGCCUGCUUCUUACCUUCCUUUUUCUUUCGCGCCGACGCCUCUCUUUCUUCUAGCAACGCUUCCCCUCGGCGCAGCGCAAAGCAUGCGCGUGAGGAAGCGCCUCCGGCAGAGGCAACACCCGCGGGGGUGUUCCCCCACACCCCGCCGGUCUCCACGACUGAGCCCUCAACCCCACAGGUCGCAGCAAUGGAGCCUUUGCCAACACCGCGCGUGGGCACGCAGGAGCCCACGCCCCAAGCCGCACAACUCGCCGCCGCUGGUGCAAGCGUGUUGGCGGGCCCUCUUCAUGGGGGCGUCCACCAUGCCACCGUGGUGGCACCACGCGAGGGCGGCACCCCGCUCCCCGAGGCCGACCUCGCGACGGUUUUCGUCGUCGACACCACAAGCUUCGCCAACAUGCGCCGCGCCAUCGACGCCAUCGAGCUGAAUUAGAAGCAGUUCGCGGCUGCGGUUUUUGGGGCGAAGGCAGACUUCGAGAGCACCCAGGCGCGCCAAGAGACCUUGGUCCGUGCGAUCCAGGACGCUGAGGCAUGCCUCGCCGCACUUGGCGCUACGAACAUGACACAUUUCACCUUCUGGUCAAACAGUUUAAACUCCGUCGACUACGAAUAGUUGACCUUCUUCGGUUACGACGACUUGAUACACUUUCGAGUUCUCGUAGUCGAAACACGUUUGACUCCACGUCCUAACAAACAUGCUGUCCUGAUUAGCUGAUUCAGCCUACGAAGUCGAAACCCAUGAACUCCAACCCAGUUGUAUCCCAACUGACAGGUUGGCAUGGGAUAGAGAUGACGGGCGUCAGGCUAACGAAAGGGCCUGCAUACUAGAUAGCAUGUCGAGUUCGGUCAAAUAACAAAACCAUUGCUAAAAUAAUAAAUAAAUAAGCUAAUGCAAUAUUUUAUGAAGUCUCAACACUGUAUGAUUGUUUCCAAUGACUGCAGCUCAAAUCAAUCCAAGCAAGAAGGCCACGAAGAUUUGAGCCUAUGCUCGACUACCAGCAGUCGAACAUAGCCUCGGGGGCUACUCUCACGGGCCGCGCUGGCCACGCACCCUAUACUUCGGAUGCAUCACCCUUCGGGUCUGUCGGCUCCACCACCCUUCGGGUCUGUCGGUUUCGCCAUCCAAGCUUCUGACACGACUUCGCUACCACGUCAACUCCAACUGCACUGCGUCGGCUCCGUCCUUUCAAGCGUCCGACUCAACUCCGCCGUCACGUAAACUUUUUUUUUUUGAGAAUCUCCUGUAACUUUAUUCAAACUCGAAAACCAUUAUAGGUAUAGUGCUUCGGAUCAUAGACACAAGAAACUACAAAGUAACCCCUAUGACUAAGAAUUACAAUGAAAUUUCUCGAAAACAUAUUCUCCGUGGCAUCAAUCUUUGCAACACGAUAUUCUCCAGACUUCAGGAAAAGAACUGCAAUUAGACUGGAGUGGCAACAUCGCCACUCGUAACCCUGCACGAACUUGAUUACCUUCAAAUGUUUCAGAAAGCCCCCUGAGUCGCCCAUCUAAAAAGAUGAGAAGCCGUGAGCAUUGAACGUACUUGGGCUGGGGAUGAUCCCCCAUAGGUCAUCGAACCACAUGAUCUUCACGAAAACGCUAGAGAAAGACCCCAAAGUCACAAAAGAUCAGACCAACAAAAGCAUCAUGACACACUGACAAAAACUCAUCAAAUCCGUAUGAACAGAUCUGUGAGGACAUAAACUGAAAAUCCGCGUGAUCGGACACAUGGAAUUCCUGGUGAUUAAAACUCUCUGGCCCCGUGGCGCAAUAAGGCACCGCCGCAACAGAGGAAGAACCAGAGUACCUUUAUUCUCGACGGCAUUGCACUCUCCGCCGUAGCGUUGCCGAUGAAGAUCACAAGACUUGUAAUAGUAAAAACUUCUGAAAACGCCCAAGAGUACCCGAGAUUCCCCCCACCUCGCAGCGCCAAGAUGGCGUCAUGAGGUGAGGGGAACCAGUGAAUCCGGACGGUGCUCUACCUCAAAACCCUAAGUUUUCUCCGUCUCCUCACCGUCACGUCAACUACGACUACACGAUAUGUGACCCGCGACUUUGAGUCUCAAGGGCUACCGAUGUGGUUAUAACCAAUCGGGUCAUCAUCUUUGGUAUACCCACUAUGGCCCAGCUGGGGGCCCAUGUAGAAGCCUACUACAACUCCAGGGGUCCGGAUGCCUAAUCUUGUGACUUAAGAUAAGGAAACCGACUUAGGGUUUAAAUACAAAUUGUAACCUACCAGGUUUCUGCACCCGAGACCUAGCCUCCUAUAUAAAGGACUAGGAGGGGCACUCUGGAGGACAGAUUCUCUCUCCCUCAAGAUAGAUCCAAUCUCUCAUAGAGACUCCAUCUCAUACACCUCACGCCAGAUGUAAUCUGAGCACCAUAGCCUCCAUGGCAACCUUGUAAUCUCUCCGUUAAUAUUAGAUCAGACAAGCAGGAUGUAGGGGUAUUACCUUUCGAGGGCCCUGAACUUGGGGUAAACUCUUGCCUGCCCUUGCUUGUCAACCGACGGGAUCGCCAACACAUACGCAUGUCACUCUCCCUAAACACAAAGCCCCUCAACAUGGGCAUUGCCGAAGUGGAACUUCGUCACAUACCAUGUGUGUCAUCACUCCUCGAUAAGAAUGCUUACCGGUUCUAGAGCUUGGAUCGCCACGAGAAGGGAUCAAAGGCGUCGAGAGGAAGGCGAGGAAUUGGACACCGUUCAAUCUUGAUAUGACCUACAAAGAAAGGGUGCUAGGAGAAAAGGAGAGACACAAGAGAGAGGGAUCUAGGAAGAACGGAGAUCUACGGGAGAUGGUAGCGACGAUGGAUGGUGCGAUGUCUUUGGGGUGAGGCUGGCAGUGGAAAAACAGAUGGUGUCGAAGUGAGGUAGGGAUUGAAUCAGGAGGAGAAGCACAAAGGCAGUGGAUGCGUCAGGGAAAGAAAGAGAGAACAUGAUGGUGUAGAAAAAUAGAGAAGAUGGCUGAAAUUUAUUGUUUAAAGAUACUUCCUCUGUUUGGGUUUACUAUUUAAAUUUGUGGUAGACUUUGACCAACAAUUAUUCAAUUAUAUUUAGUACAUGUAUAUAAAAGUUAUACCAUUAGAAAGAGUUUUUCAAUACGAAUCCAACAAUAUAUCAUUGAGAUAAAUGCACUCGCGGUCUUAUUAUUAUUGAUUUGGUGCCACUUCGUCCUAAAAAUUAUGAAAUUGCACACUUAGGUCCUAAUUUUAUUUUAAGUGGCUCACGCGAAGUCCUAAGUUGGUUCUGGCGCGUUUGACACGCCUAUGUGGCUCGUUGACCCCAUACACUUGAGCAAGGGCCCCCACAUAUCAUAACCAAUGGCAAUGUAAGGAGAAACCCCUCAUGGAAAAGAAAUGAGGGGAGAAAUAAGAGAGAUGGCCCUUCCGUGAGUUUUUUUUUGCUGAAUCACAUUGCCAUUCGUUAUGGUCUCUGAGCCCCUUGAUGACGUGUACCGGGUUAAGGAGACACGUAGAUGGGUAAAACGGGCCUGAACCAGCUUAGGACCUCGCGUGAGCCACUUAAAAUAUAAUUAGUACCUAAGUGUGCAAUUUCAUAAAUUUAGGAAUAAAGUGACACCAACUCAAUAAUAGUAGCAUCGCAAGUGAAUUUACCUCGUAUAUCUUUUGCGACGCAAUAAUCUCAUAUUACCGACGCAAUUUUGAUCAAAAUUUGGCAUAAAAUUCCGUGGGUCUUGUGAACCCAAACGGAGGGAGUACUUCUCAAUGGUAUAAAUGACAACAUCAUUUUCGUGAGCCAAUUAGAAAGCUUGUCGCACAGAUGAAAACACUACGGCUGAUUGUACUGCAAACACUAGUGCAAGAAUGGAGGAUGGCAAGUUUUUAAACAAACUACUCCCUCAGUUCAGGUUUAUAAGAGCGACGCGAAAUUUUAUGCUAAAUUUUGGUCAAAAAUUACAUUGGUAGUAUGAGAUUAUUGCGGCACAAGAGAUAUAUUGUUGGAUUCAUUUUGAAAAAACUUUUUCUAAUGAUAUACUACUUCCGUUUCAUAAUUCUUGUCGAAAUAUUACAUGUAUCUAGACGUACAUAUAUCCAUUUUUAGGCAAUUUUGCAAUUUUGAGGCAAGAAAUUAUGGAACGGAACGGGUAACUUUUAUAUACAUGUAAGUACUAAAUAUAAUAUAUCCAAGCGAAGGCAGUAAGUGGGACAAAGGUACAUUCUACUCCAUUUAACCGUGAAGAUCCCUACCAAAAAUGACUGCUCUCGCUAACUCAUCGUGCGCCGUUCGUACCCCGGGACGCGGGGGGACCUCCGGGCGUCUUGCUCACAUGGAAUGUACUGUUCACCAGCAGUGUGCGCGAAGCCAUCUGCACCGGCUGCACCGCAUGGGCAUGGACACAAGGUUGCAAAAAGACAAGUCUAUUUGGACAGCGUCUUCUGCCGCGAGCCGUCCAUCCGUCGUUGCAUCCCGUGCGCCGGCGCCAACCCAACUGGCAACUGCACUCGGUCUCACUUCCACGUGGGCGCCCGCCCAUCGGUCUCUCUUCCCUCCACUCCACUCCACAACCCCCUCGUGCCGCUCCCCUUCGCUCCUUCAAGUUAACCAGCACAAACCCCCAUGCCCACCCACUGCUCGACCCAAUUCCCCAACGACUGCUCGCGGCCCCCAUCCCAUGGCCUACCUCCUCGCGCCGCCCGCCUCCUGGCGCGGCGUCCGGCCACCAGCGCCGCCCCGACAGUCGGCCCCACGCCACGGCCUGAUCUCCCGUGCCGCGCGCUCCUCGUGCUACCGCUUCCGGACCGACGACGACGGCGUCGUGGACGUGGCCGUCGCCAGGAAGGAGGGCGAGGGCGGCGGGUACACGGUCAGCGUACAGGUCCCGCUCCUCCCGGGCAGCGCCCGAGGGCGGGAGGGCGGCCGGCUUGUGCUCCGCCCCGCGGACUCCGGCGAGGGCUUCGCGCUGGCGCCAGCCGUGUCGUCCGGCGGCGACGGCGCGUGCCUCGCGGCCGAGCUCUCCUUCGACGCGUCCCGCGCGCCGUUCAACCUCUCCUUCCUGCUGACGGACGGCGAGGGGGCGGAGAUAUGGACCCACCGCAAGACCACCUUCCGCGUGCCGGUCGGUGUCAGGCGCGGCAGCCCCGCGCCGCUCGGUAUGUCCCUGUCGGACGACGGGGCCGCCAACUUCGCCUUGUACAGCAAGACCGCUAAGGGCGUCGUGCUCUGCCUGUAUGACGGCAAGGGCAGCGACGAGCCCGCGCUGGAGAUCGAGCUCGAUCCCUACGUCAACCGGACGGGCAACGUCUGGCACGUGUUGUUGGAUUGCGUGCAGGGAUACAUCAGCUACGGCUUCCGCUGCGGGCUGCUCGGCACGGGCCACCCACUGUUGGACCCGUAUGCCAAGGUGCUCGGUGAUUUCCUCUCUGCUAAUUCUGUUUAUGUGGAGGGGGUCCCCGUGCAGUCCAUGAGUUUCCUCGGAUCAUUGGCGAAUGCACCGAGCUACAAUUGGGGCAGGGACAAACAUCCCUGCUUGCCGUUCGAGAAGCUGGUGGUGUACCGGGCGAAUGUAGCUUUGUUCACCAAGGACAAGUCGGCUGAGCUGCCGGACAAUGUUGCCGGUACUUUCUCCGGGAUGGCUGCAAAGAUAGACCACUUUAGGAGUCUUGGUGUCAAUGCAGUUUUGCUAGAACCAGUGUUCCCUUUCCACAAGGAGAAGGGCCCUUACUUCCCUUACCAUUUCUUUUCACCAAUGAAUUCGUAUAGCAGUGAAGGUUGCAGUGCUUCAGCUAUCACGUCUAUGAAGGAUAUGGUCAAGGCGAUGCACAAAAAUGGAAUAGAGGUCCUCUUGGAGGUUGUUUUUACGCAUACUGCUGAAGGAGAAGCAGAUUGUCAGAUGAUAUCAAUCCGUGGUAUUGACAGUUUCUCUUAUUACAUUGCUGAUGAGAUUGUUGGAUGCAAUGUGGGUAUAUUGAAUUGCAAUUCCCCAGUGACUCAGAAACUGAUUUUGGACAGCCUCCGCCAUUGGGUGCUUGAUUUCCAUGUCGAUGGGUUUUGUUUCAUUAAUGCUCCUUUCCUUCUCAGGGGCCCAUGUGGUGAAUAUUUAUCUCGACCACCUCUUCUUGAAUCUAUAGCUUUUGACCCAGUUCUUUCCAAGACAAAAAUCAUUGCAGAUCCUUGGUCACCACUCGGCAUAUCUAAUGUGCAAUUUCCAUUCCCUCACUGGAAAAGGUGGGCUGAGAUGAACACAAGGUUUUCUAUUGAUGUGCGUAAAUUUUUAAAGGGAGAAGCGCUUAUUAGCGAUCUUGCUACUCGUCUGUGUGGUAGCGGGGACCUAUUUUCCAGUAGGGGCCCAGCCUUUUCUUUCAAUUCCGUGUCCAGGAAUUCAGGACUUACUCUUGUUGAUUUGGUGAGCUUCAGCAAUGAUGAUCUUGCUUCUGAGUCGAGUUGGAAUUGUGGUGAAGAAGGACCGUCUGAGAACAGUGCAGUCCUUCAGACGAGGCUGAGGCAGAUAAGGAAUUUCAUAUUUAUUCUAUUUGUUUCACUUGGUAUUCCUGUUCUGAACAUGGGAGAUGAGUGCGGACACUCCUCUGGUGGUUCCACAUUAUACAUGGAUAGAGUUCCUCUAAACUGGAAGGGCUUGAAGACCACUUUUGUUAAGGAAGUUACUGCAUUCAUUUCAUUUCUAGCUGCUCUCAGGAGUCGGCGAGGUGACAUAUUUCAGAGAAGAGAAUUCCUCAAACUGGAAAAUAUUUAUUGGCACGGGAAAGAUCUAUCUGAGCCAAGAUGGGAGGAUCCUACUAGCAAAUUUCUUUGCAUGCAUGUAAUCGCAGAGAAUGAUGGAAAUAUGCCAGAUUCAACCAAAGGUGACUUGUACAUCUGUUUCAAUGCAAAUGAGGAAUCAAUAAGUGCGACAUUACCUGCUCCUGCAGAAGGAUCCAUGUGGCUAUGCUUGGUUGAUACAUCACUUGCGCUUCCGGGUUUCUUUGCAACUGAGUCUAAUCCUAAAGUGCAACAAGUGCCAGGAUAUUCAUCUUAUGAAGUAAAAGCACACAGUUGUGUUUUAUUUGAAUCGAAGAGGGAUCUCUCCUUGCUUCUGUGAUAAGUCAUAACUCUGUUGACACUCGCUUCCUUCUUUCAAAGACCUCUGGUCCAAAUAAAUUGCUGUGUAAAUAAGAAUUUUUGUGAUAAUAAAAUUUAGCAUUUUCCGAAAUGGAUUCUAUAUCUAAUGUUCAUACUGCCUUCUUGUUACUUGUGGUGUUAAAUGAGCCGUUAUUCUCUUAAACUUUGCUCAAUAUUUUAAGUUGGCCAGUUGAAGCUUGCAGUAGAGCACGCUGGGAAGCCCUCAGCACCUCUAUUGCCACAGCCAUUAAAUCACUUGUGCAAAUAGCUGGAUUGCUAUAAUUGGUUUUAAUGGAAGGUCAAGAAGAGGGAAGUAAGAUAAAGCACGUGUUGCUUCAGAUGGAAGAUAAAGCAGCUCCAUGACGCCUCUCCUUUGCUUCUUGUCAUGCAACCGAGCUUCUUCUUUUCAUUCACCUCCUCUUUUUUUCUUCUUCAUGUGAACCCUUCUCUCCAUAAGCUCCCGCUCAUCUUGCCUUCAUGCCUGUGGUCGUCGCUGCCCUUCUCUCUUUCACUCCUCAUCUUUGUCAAUCCCACACACUGAUGACAGGUGAUCCUGGUAGAAAGAGACAAAACUACUCCAAUUCCUUUCCUUAACUGAUGUAUCGAUCGGUCCGAACUAGGCUUUACCUUUGACUUUGAUGGUUGCCUGGAAUUUUUUCUGGUGAGGUUAAGCAUGCUUGUUUGCUUCGAAUUGUCAUGGAGAACUCCUUAAUAGCGUCCAGAAUCAGUAAGUGAUUAAAGACUCUGAAGCUACUCUGGAAGUUGCUUAUGUUAACCUGCUAUUUUUCCAAGUGCCACUAACAUUAGCUCUUAACCUACAAGGUUUAUAAAUUUGUAUUGUAAUAUCUCUAUGCAAUAUUCUGCAUUCUCCUCCAAAUAUAUAAAUGGUAUCGAGAAUAUACUACCCUGAAAGUACAAAGUUAGCUUAUGAAGUUUCAAUAAUGUAUAGGUGACAGUCACAUGUUUACUACGAUAGAACCUGAUUUUAUUUUCUUGAUGUGGCAUGAGAUAGCUAAGCAUGAUAUGUUUAAUCAUAUUCACGAGAUCCUGUUUGAAAUGACAUAUCUGUGUUAUAUAGGAAUACUUGGAUAAAGUAAGUCCUAUGAGGUUAGCAAGCCCUGAAUUUGAUUCUUAUUUUGUACAUUGUACCGCUAUCCGUAUGUAAUCAUCGAACAAUGAGUUACUCCUUUUAUGUGAUGCAAUUACUAUUCCUGAAAUAUAUUUAUGCCGCCUUGAUUUAGCAGACUGCAAGUUGACAUUGGUCCCCACUUCUGUUGCAGAUAAAGGCUCUGAUUGCAGGUGGUAUAAUUGUUGGGUUGGAUGAGGACUUUCCGAAGGUGCCGUGGAUCUUUUCAGGCUCUGUAGUGUCGUAAGGCUUGUUGAUUUUCUGCACUACACCGUACCUGACUAUGGAUCCUUGGGAAUACAAGGUUCAGUCCUCCAUUCCUCCGUAUCAUUCAUAACCAUUUUUAUAUUUCUUGUUUUGUUAGACAUACUGAUGUUAGGUUUAUCUCACUUGUAAAAAUAAUACUCCCUCCGUCCAACAAAGGAUGUCUCAACUUGAACUAAAUUUGAAUGCAUCUAUACACUAAGUCACAUGUAGAUACAUCCAGAUUUUAACAAACUUGAGACAUCUUUUGUUGGACGGAGGGAGUAAUAUUACUAGUAGCUUUGUGCCUUUAUAUUAUCAACUUAUGGAAGUUCCUUCA